GCCCCUGUAGCUUAAUAGGAAGAGCGCCUCCGUCCUAAGGAGGAGGUUGCAGGUUCGAGCCCUGCCAGGGGCA
rnacentral:tRNA from 1 species